CUUGAGGGGCUUUCCACUCGUGUGGGGGAGGAGCAGGUGUGAACCGUGAGAAAGCUCAGCUGGCUCCUGGGGACGGAACCAGCCGAGCCUGGGGAGCCCAGGAUCUGUGUGCUGAGGCAGGCCUGCCAAGCUCUGAUGUGUUUAGACUUGAACUUGGAGGGGAGGUUGCACCGAGACAGCUCCUGAGAUCUGUUCCGCAGCGUGAGUGGGCUGGGGUGUUCUCGCUGAGCUAUUUCUGUAGAGAAAGCUGUCUGGAACCAUCUGAGAAGCCACUAACCACUGAGGCUCACUGAAACAUGCCUUCUAUCCACUCUUGCAUCAUCUUCCCUCCAUUUUAUGCCUGAGAGGACGCCUGUGUGUACAAGUCUAAGUCUGUGUGUGUUCCAGAGUUGUGUUGCCAUGGAGAAUUACUUGGAAGAGGCGUCUUAUGAGCCGCUUGAACUGAACAUAUAAAAAUGCAUCCCAAAAAUCAAAGCUCCUCUUCUAUAUGCACAGACACUGGAAGGAAUCGCAAGAAAAUUGGGACCAGUAGUUGCCUCUGGAGAAGGGAACUGGGGAGGGGACAGUGACACGAGGGAGAUGACUCUUCACUGUGUCCUGUUCAUUUUUUGGCCAUAAGCAUGUAAUACUUUUUUUUUUUACAAAAGUAUUUCAUUUUCACAAAAUGAAAAGAGAAGUUUAAAUGCCAAGGCUUCCCCUGGGAAAUAUUCCUAGACACAGAUAUCCCCCUUGAACCCACACUCAACUUCCCAGGAGGAAAUUGGGACUCUCCAAACAAUCACGGGCUGCCUUUGAAGAGGGAUCCACCUGGCUCCUUGGAUGUGUGCUCCAUAUUCUCAAGGGCACGAUGUUCACCCCCAUCCACGAGAAAGGACAAAGUAUGUCGAGAAGAGAUACUAUUCCGUUUCUAACGCAGGGUGGGUUAAAGAGUGAUCAAUGACGACUGCAAACGCAUUCUUUCAGGCAGCCUUGCAGACAAGAUGCAGCUGGUGGUGCAAGGAGCCUCGUGCUGGUUGCCGAAAGCUAAGCCCACACCCGUCGUCUUCCACCUGGGGUUGCUGCCAAUCCAACAGGACACGGCUCACCGCGUUGGACAGGGAAGCUUCCUACCCAGUCACGUAGAAGAAUAUUAAACGUUUUCAUAAUGUGUCCACACAUGUUUUGCUUCUCCAAGAGAUGACAGCUCAGACUUCAGAAACCGUGGUGACCUUAUUUUGUGACUUUGUGUUCUCUUUGCUGAGCCGAUGACCCACUUGCAAAGCAAAGGUGCAAAUUGCAAGUGAACAUCCCCAACAGCGGUUCCUUUUCUGUUUUUCACUCUGCUGGAAAUCUGUUGAAAUAAAGAGUGUCAACACAGCACCUCUCAGUGCGGGCUAACUGGAUUGAACUGGACAGCGUUCUAUUCAUUGGAAAUCAUUAGGCAAUUCAAGAGGGAAGAAAACGGAAGAGAAAAGAAAAACAUCGCCCCAUCACAAAAAUAACUUGAGAAUUGUGCAGUCUGCCAGCAUAUUGGAUAUUUGUGUUGAACUUGCUUUCAGUACUCGGCUAAAUUUACCACACCCUACCUCCAAAGCCCUUGCUCCCUUCCUUUUGAAUAGCAAAGUAAUGAGAACUAGAAAAGCUUUUGUGUCUUUGGCAAAGUUGAAUGUAACUGUUUCCACUAAAUCCUGCAAAGGUGAGGAUGCGAGAGGGAAAUCCACCAAUUCAUUUCGCUUUUGUUACCUGUUCAUGAAAAGCUACCUUCUGGGGGUGAGACCAUGUUUGAUACGAGAUGCUGCCUGAACUCAGUAUAUUUGGCUGACAAUAUAAUUUUAGUGAACAGAUUAUCAAAUUGCUCAAAUGCAUAUGGAACUACCAUGGACCUUCACGCCGUAAGAACGGUUUCCCAAAGCAAAUAAUUUUGCUGUUGUUGUUUUGGUUUGGUUUGAUUUUUUUGCAGAUGGAGCCACCUGGUCUCAAGUUUCCUCCUGAGAAAACUCGCUUCCCCAUUGAACACAAUGCGCAGGUGUUCCAGGGAACUUCAGUGUGGGAGACUUUUACUGACGGUCCGCUAGCUGUCACACACUUUUCUUGCAUCUUCAUGUCGUGUUGCACACAGCUCUGUCCGGCUGACAUCAACUUGGCUCCGCUGGGAAGAAGUCACUGCACAGGGAAGGGAGGGGCUGGCCAGGCUGCCCAGCUGAUGCAGAAUCCAUGGAUACGAAGGCCAGCUGGAGUGAUCACCAAAGGUUUCCUGCAGAUAAAAUGUUCAGAUAAUCAUUUCUCUUUGAGAAGCACUUUUGAUGUGUUAGAGAUGGCUCCCCAAACUUCCCAUUGCUUUACGGAGAACUUUCUGUGUAGGAUUUUAGCAUCAUUGAGCAGCUCAGGUAUUCAACUGCAAAAGGAGUGGAGAAAAUGAGAGCACAGGGCGUCACCCUCUGAGGCUGUUCUGACAAUAAGGUUUGUUUUCUUCACCAUAAUCAAGACAAGACAUGGCUUGUACCUUCCUAAGAAUGCCUGGCUCCAGGACCAAGCCAGGCACCCAGCUCUCCUGGGCCUGCUGGAGUCCCAACAGGUUUCCCCCCUCCCAGAGGCAUCCAGGAUUGACACACAUCUUAUGACUUGAGGCCCUGGGCUCAUCCUUUGUUAUAACAUCCUUUGUUUCCUCCUUGACAACAACAGAUACAACAAAUACGAAGACCAGUGAAGGUGCCCUUGCAGUCACUGAGGAAUUAGGGAGUCCCACUGUUAGAUAGUAGCUAGCAAUGAGCGAUGACCUGCAGGCAAGGUCACAGGUGUUCUUUAAAUUACUUUAGAGUCUUCUUUAAACUACUUCCAAAGUAAACAAGAAAGCAAAGUGUGAUAGUCAAUUUGUAGAAAAGAAACAGAAGCAAAAAGAGCUAAUUGGGAAAUAUGUCAAGAGAAAGGAUUCAUGGGACUAACUCUUGACAGGGUCCACUGGUGUUGACGUGAAGCUGGGAAUUAUGGCUAUAGGUGUCUCCAUUUGUCUGGGGAGGAAGAAUCCUCUCUCUCUCUCUCUCUCUCUCUCUCUCUCUCUCUCUCUCUCUCUCUCUGCUGGAACCUCUUGCAGCUAGGCACACUCUACCACUGGGCUACAUCCCCAGCCCCUCUCUUCAUUCUUGUAUCUCCAGCUUACAGCGUGGUGCUUGGCACACAGAGAUCUGAUAAAUAUUGGUUGGAUGAAUGAAUGAAUAAAUGAAUAAAUAAAAUUGUAAGAAUGAUCUUUGGCAACAGAUAGGUCCGCAACUUCAAGAGAUACACAGGACCUCUCCAAGCCUCAGGAGUCCAGCCCGGGGUGUAAAACGAGGAUGAGGACAAUACUCCCCUCAAGGUUGUUUUCAGACAUGAGAUGAGAGUGACCAACCCGACACGCGAACACACUUGACACUCGAACACACUUGGCAUCCGGCUCGUGGUACAAGCUCAAUGCAGCGGCAGUCUUAUUUCAGAGUUUCAUCUAUCUUCCUUGAUCACAAAUUCAGGAUCCAAAUAGAAGGAACUUCUAUCUUUUAUGUGUCUAGCACACUACAGUCUGGAAUUACAUAAUUAUUUGCUUUUAGUAUCUGUAGGCAUAUGCUUCGUGAUGAAAAAUGGGAUUUAGCUGUUAGGUAGAACUUGACGUAGGCAACACCAUUUUGAAACAUGUCCUUCAUCUUGGGAAAGAGUCACCUCACAGUCACUGACUCAGCCUGACCUAAACCCCAGACAUACUGCCUCACUCUGCAAAGAAACCCCAAACUCUCCAUCCAAAUUGUAGAAAGGAAAUUGUUAUCUGGGACUGAGGUCAUAAAAACACCUAGUUCCUUAUGAAGGUGACACCGCUGGGUCCUUAGGCCAAAGCAACUCCAUUUUGAAAAUCAGCACCCGGCCACCCAGACAUGGCUUUCCUAUUAGGACCCCAAAAGAGUCCCUAACUCCAGAAACCAUAGCAAAAACCUCACAGGACCAGACGGGUUCUUUUUAACCACUUCCAUUGUACUUGACUGUAUAAUUGAGAAGUUUUUUCCCAGCAGGCGGCUGCACCCUGCGGAAGGGCAGUCUAGCCAACAUUCUCUGUCAAUAAACCUUUGCUUGAACUCAGAGAUGUGUCUCUGGUGGAUAUUUGCGCCAGCCACCUUAAUAGCCAGCGCAAGGACACUUCCCUGACAGCCCCGUGGCCAUGGCCUCCUCCCCCUCCCCCACUCCCUAUGGUCUCGGUGUGCACUGGACCCCGCUCCACAGGUCUGUCCUGAAUAACCCUGAGUUGAGCUGUUUCUCCUUUUUCUUUAUUUCCUUCAUUUGCUUCUUUCCUUACAUUACACUUUCUAAAGUGGUUUAUCAGUAAUAAAGUGCUACCUUUUUUAUGAUUUUGUUUGGGUACUGGGGAGGGAGCUCCGUGGUAAAGUGCCUGCUGGGCUGCAUCCUCAGCUCUUUUCAUUUUUGAACUUUGAGACAGGGUCCUGCUAAAGUUUGGUAAAUUGUUGAGGCUUGCCUCUUAAAAUUUAUGAUCCUCCUACCUCAGCCUCUGGAGUUGCUGGGAUUAUAGGCGUGUACCACCAUGCUCAGCUGUAAUUUCAAUUUGUGUAUGGUUUGUGGAUUGAACCCAAAGCCCUGUGCUCGCUAAGCAUGCACCCUACCUGAUGUCACUCCCGGGCAUAACUCUAUCAGACCGACAGAGUGGAUAGGAAGAGGGUCUGAGGAGAAACCACGCGGGGGCUCAACUGCAUGGGGGCUCUGGGGCUUAUCGCAGAAAGCUAAGGGUUUGGGACAGGAAAAAGGAUUUUUAGAGUUCCUUGUCCCAGUGGAGUUGAUGGGGGAACUGGCUGAGAUCCAGGAUUGGCCAGGAGACCCUGCUGAUUGACAGGUGGUUCCCUCGAUGGUGCCCGUGCAGCUGCUUGGUGCUUUGUUCCUAAGUCACCGCCAGGGACCUGACACUUUCUUGUUGAAAAUUUGCUAAUUUCUUGACUGUAAACUACUGCUAUCCAACCAAGAAGGAUCUGAUAAACAAAUUCACAUCAAAAUGCUAAUGGAUGCUUUUUAUUUGGGUGGGCUAAAAUAAGGGUCUGGGUUUCACAGGCUUCAUUUAGGGUGGGACAGGAGGGUAGUUCCUAAGGUUCAUUGUACUGGGGUGAGCUGAUCCAUUAGCACCAACUGGAGAGUGGACCGUGACUUUCCUGAGGCUUAUUGUUUUGGGGCCACCUGGCCCAUGGGGAGUGGGGCCGGUGCCAGGCAGGCCCAAGUUCCUUGGUGCUCCUUCCUUCUGGCUGAGGCCUGGGGUUUUAAAUGACAAAAGCUUCAGUUUUAGCCCAGGGCAGGUGGGGUAACAGCCGCAGGAAAGGGAGGUGUUCUUGGGACUUAAUUCUCCAUAUCUUUCAGAUGAUACUUGUAUUUUUGUAGUGCUGGCACUGCCUAUAAUCCCCACAGUGCGGGAGGCUGAGGCAGGAGGAUUGGAGUUCAAAACCAGCCUCAGCAAUUUAGCGAGGUUCUAAGCAACUCAGUGAGACUCUGUCUCACCAUGAAAUACAAAACAGUGAGAAACUGAUGUGACUCCAUUUUUGAGAAACCAGCCUCUACCUCAGAGCAAAGCCUGUCCAAGGAAGAGCGCAUGACCCUUGUUCUUGGAAAGACCCACAGAGCACUCCUAGGCACAUACCCACCCUGCUAAGUUGUUUAUCUACAAAUAACAGGAGAGAUCUGCUGCACCAGGUGCCCCUGACUCAGUCAGGCUAGGUGGGGACCCAUAGCAACCCCCUAGCAGCCACCAAUCAGCAUGAGACAGGGAAAUACCUGGGAUGUCAGAUAACCCUCCCAGUAGUUUAUGGUGGUUGAUAACAUGUUGGGAAACCACGUAGUUCAGCACGUACUCACCUCGUGGCUUAAACCAAUCAGUUCAAACGAAUCCCCCUCUUGCACUGACCAAUCACCCCUACCCAACUUGUUCCCGCCAGUGAAUGUGCUAAUCAUGUUUUAGAGUUGUUAUUUUAUUUUCCCACAGUGUGUGAUGAUUUGCUAAGAGAUGCUAUGAUGUAAAUGAGGUCCCUGCCUUCCCCCAAAGAAUGUAUAAAACUGCUGCAAACCCUGGGCUCGGGCCUCUCAGCAUCACCAGUUGCUAUGUGUGCGUGUGGAGGACCGAGCUAGCUCGCAAUAAACACCUUUUUGCUGCUUA